rnacentral:rRNA from 1 species
UACGGGGGGGGCAAGCGUUGUUCGGAAUUACUGGGCGUAAAGGGCGCGUAGGCGGCCUGCUAAGUCGGAUGUGAAAUCCCCAGGCUCAACCUGGGAACUGCGUCUGAUACUGGAUGGCUUGAAUCCGGGAGAGGGAUGCAGAAUUCCAGGUGUAGCGGUGAAAUGCGUAGAUAUCUGGAGGAAUACCGGUGGCGAAGGCGGCAUCCUGGACCGGCAUUGACGCUGAGGAGCGAAAGCCAGGGGAGCAAACGGGG